rnacentral:rRNA from 1 species
UACGUAGGGCGCAAGCGUUGUCCGGAAUUAUUGGGCGUAAAGAGCUCGUAGGCGGUUUGUCACGUCUGCUGUGAAAUCCCGAGGCUCAACCUCGGGCGUGCAGUGGGUACGGGCAGACUAGAGUGCGGUAGGGGAGACCGGAAUUCCUGGUGUAGCGGUGGAAUGCGCAGAUAUCAGGAGGAACACCGAUGGCGAAGGCAGGUCUCUGGGCCGCAACUGACGCUGAGGAGCGAAAGCAUGGGUAGCGAACAGGAUUAGAUA